rnacentral:misc_RNA from 1 species
GGGCGGUACUUCGCUACCAGCUUGGCUGUAGUCCCGCCACGGGUCAAUACGACAAUCAGUGCAGCCUUGGCCUUGUUCGCGGUACGGACAGCCGAGGACGCAAGACUCUCCAGCGGGCUCAUGGGGAGAGGCGCGGACCUUAUCAUCUCCUUGAAGAUGGCAUCAUAAUCAAGGGAUGACUCUGCCUCGAUACAUAUCUUGGCCAUGACCUUCACGGCUAUCUCGGGAUAGGCUCCCGCCGCACUUUCACCACUAAGCAUGACGCAGUCGGUGCCAUCGAGGACAGCAUUGGCGACAUCAGUGGCUUCAGCACGUGUCGGGCGAGGGGAUUUUAUCAUAGACUCAAGCAUCUGGGUGGCAGUGACAACAGGCUUGCCCGCAAGGUUGCAUUUGUAUAUCAUCAGCUUCUGAGCGAGGAAGAUCUUCUCAACGGGAAUUUCCAUGCCGAGAUCACCUCGAGCAACCAUGAAGGCAUCUGUCUCUUUUAAGAUUUCGUCGAAGUUUACAACACCCUCUUGGUUCUCAACCUUUGACAUCAACUUUAUGUUUUUUGCAUGAGAUCCAAGAACCUGUCGGACAUUAACAAGAUCGGAGCCCUUACGCACGAAGGACAGAGCAAUCAUAUCAAUGUUGUUGGGAACACCCCAUUCCAAAAUGUCUUCCUUGUCCUUCUCCGUCAGUGUGGGGAGAUCCACAACAACACCUGGCAGAUUGACAUUCUUUCUCUCACCUAAAAGUGCAGUAUUCUCACAGCGGCAUCUCACAGUUCCGGCAGCUGGGUCACAUGAUAGGACAGUUAAGCUAAUGCUGCCAUCUGCACACAGGAUUGUGCCUCCAGGUUUCAUAUCCACAGGAAGUUUCUUGUAACUCAUAGUAAUUGUAUUCCCAUCGCCUUUGAGAUCGUAAUCAGUGCUCACUAUGAUUUCUUGACCCUCCUUUAGUUGGACGGCCUUUCCAUCCU